GCGCCCGGGGCGGGGCGGCGCUGCCUGCAUGACCCUCCGGCGGCGCGGGGAGAAGGCGACCAUCAGCAUCCAGGAGCAUAUGGCCAUCGACGUGUGCCCCGGCCCCAUCCGCCCCAUCAAGCAGAUCUCCGACUACUUCCCCCGCUUCCCGCGGGGCCUGCCCCCGGACGCCGGGCCCCGCGCCGCUGCGCCCCCGGACGCCUCCGCGCGCCCGGCCGCGGCCAGUGCCGGCCGCCGCAGCCCCUCCGACGGCGCCCGCGAGGACGACGAGGAUGUGGACCAGCUCUUCGGAGCCUACGGCUCCAGCCCGGGCCCCAGCCCGGGUCCCAGCCCCGCGCGGCCGCCCGCCAAGCCGCCGGAGGACGAGCCGGACGCCGACGGCUACGAGUCGGACGAUUGCACCGCCCUGGGCACGCUGGACUUCAGCCUGCUGUACGACCAGGAGAACAACGCUCUCCACUGCACCAUCACCAAGGCCAAGGGCCUGAAGCCGAUGGACCACAAUGGGCUGGCAGACCCCUACGUCAAGCUGCACCUGCUGCCAGGAGCCAGUAAGGCCAAUAAGCUCAGAACAAAAACUCUCCGUAACACUCUGAACCCCACGUGGAACGAGACGCUCACUUACUACGGGAUCACAGACGAGGACAUGAUCCGCAAAACGCUGCGGAUCUCUGUGUGCGACGAGGACAAGUUCCGGCACAAUGAGUUCAUCGGGGAGACACGCGUGCCCCUGAAGAAGCUGAAAGCCAACCACACCAAGACCUUCAGUAUCUGCCUGGAGAAGCAGCUGCCGGUGGACAAGACGGAAGACAAGUCCCUGGAGGAGCGGGGCCGCAUCCUCAUCUCCCUCAAGUACAGCUCGCAGAAGCAGGGCCUGCUGGUGGGCAUCGUGCGGUGCGCACACCUGGCCGCCAUGGACGCCAACGGCUACUCGGACCCUUACGUGAAAACAUACCUGAGGCCAGAUGUGGACAAGAAAUCCAAACAUAAGACAGCGGUGAAGAAAAAAACCCUGAACCCGGAGUUUAACGAGGAGUUCUGUUACGAGAUUAAGCAUGGGGACCUGGCCAAGAAGUCCCUGGAGGUCACCGUUUGGGAUUACGACAUUGGAAAAUCCAACGAUUUUAUUGGUGGCGUGGUUCUGGGCAUCAACGCCAAGGGGGAGCGUCUGAAGCACUGGUUUGACUGCCUGAAGAACAAGGACAAGCGCAUCGAGCGCUGGCACACACUCACCAGCGAGCUCCCGGGGGCCGUGCUCAGCGACUGACGCCCGCCUGCCACUGCCACCCCCACCGCCACCUGCGCCCAGCACGGCCGGCCUAGGCUUCCCCAGCAGCCACCAAGGCCUGUGGCCCCCACAUUGGGGGAGAUCCAGAACCCCUGCUUGGACCCAGAGCCACUGCAGUCCCCGCUCGGAGGCCGUGGAGGGCUCAGCCACUCUGGGACGGGGAGGGCAGGGAGCUGGGGGUGCUCUCAGCCCUCUGGGGCCCAAGAGGCCGGUGGUGGAAGGAGACCUCAGCACCUGCCCAGGGGAAGGGGACAGGCCCAUCUGGGAGCAAAGACCUUCUGGAGGCCAGCCCAGGCUGAGAGGACAGGAGUGUGGGGGCACCCUGGGGACAGUGGGAACAGAGGAGGGAGGUGGUGAGCAGACAGACAGGUGGAGGACGGGACCUUGAAGACCGACGGCUCCAGCCCAAGGAAGGCUGACCGCAUCCCUCAUCUCCAUCGCUGCUGGGCCGAAAGUCUGCAGAGUUCCCGGAGGCUCCUGAUGAGGGCACCCAUUUGAGGUAGGCCCUCAAGUUACAGAUGGGGAAACUGCGGACCAGAGAAGUUAAAAUACUUGUACCGAAUCACACGGCUGGUCGAUGGCAGAAGCAGGAUUCAAACUGAGGCCACCCAAGACUUUUUGCACCGGGACCUGUUGGCCGUGCUGUUGUCCACUCAUCCACCAAACAGCUGUGGAGUAUUGACUCAAACGCCAGCCCCUGUCUGAGUCUCCAAGGGAGUUAAAUGUUGGAAGGUACUUUAAGACACGUAUUGUGUAGGUUUUGAGGGGGAGAAAACCUUCCUAACACAGUUUAUUGAAUAGUUUAUUGCACAUCAUUCUUUAGGUCAGAUAGAAACUUCUCAAGAGAUACAAGCCUUUGCUUUCUAACAUCGA